UACGUAGGGGCGAGCGUUGUCCGGAAUUACUGGGCGUAAAGGGUGCGCAGGCGGUUAAUUAAGUCUCAUGUGAAAUACCCGGGCUUAACCUGGGGGUUGCAUGGGAAACUGGAUAACUUGAGUGCAGGAGAGGCAAGUGGAAUUCCUAGUGUAGCGGUGAAAUGCGUAGAUAUUAGGAAGAACACCGGUGGCGAAGGCGGCUUUCUGGACUGUAACUGACACUGAGGCACGAAAGCGUGGGGAGCAAACAGGAUUAGAUACCCCUGUAGUCCCUGAG
rnacentral:rRNA from 1 species